GACGUAGGGCGCGAGCGUUGUCCGGAUUUAUUGGGCGUAAAGAGCUCGUAGGCGGCUUGUCGCGUCGACUGUGAAAUCCCGCGGCUCAACUGCGGGUCUGCAGUCGAUACGGGCAGGCUAGAGUUCGGUAGGGGAGACUGGAAUUCCUGGUGUAGCGGUGAAAUGCGCAGAUAUCAGGAGGAACACCGAUGGCGAAGGCAGGUCUCUGGGCAUUAACUGACGCUGAGGAGCGAAAGCAUGGGGGAGCGAACAGG
rnacentral:rRNA from 1 species